rnacentral:rRNA from 1 species
UACGUAGGGUGCGAGCGUUGUCCGGAAUUAUUGGGCGUAAAGAGCUCGUAGGCGGUUUGUUGCGUCGGCCGUGAAAACCUGCAGCUUAACUGUGGGCCUGCGGUCGAUACGGGCAGACUUGAGUUCGGUAGGGGAGACUGGAAUUCCCGGUGUAGCGGUGAAAUGCGCAGAUAUCGGGAGGAACACCGGUGGCGAAGGCGGUUCUCUGGGCCUUACCUGACGCUGAGGAGCGAAAGCGUGGGGAGCGAACAGG